UACGAAGGGGGCUAGCGUUGCUCGGAAUCACUGGGCGUAAAGGGUGCGUAGGCGGGUCUUUAAGUCGAGGGUGAAAUCCUGGAGCUCAACUCCAGAACUGCCUUCGAUACUGAGAGUCUCGAGUCCGGGAGAGGUGAGUGGAACUGCGAGUGUAGAGGUGAAAUUCGUAGAUAUUCGCAAGAACACCAGUGGCGAAGGCGGCUCACUGGCCCGGUACUGACGCUGAGGUGCGAAAGCGUGGGGAGCAAACAGG
rnacentral:rRNA from 1 species